CAAUAGCGUAUAUUAAAGUUGUUGCGGUUAAAAAGCUCGUAGUUGGAUUUCUGCUGAGAACGACCGGUCCGCCCUUUGGGUGUGUAUCUGGCUCUUUCUUGGCAUCUUCUUGGUGAACGUUGCUGCACUUGACUGUGUGGAGCGCUACCCAGGACUUUUACUUUGAGGAAAUUAGAGUGUUUCAAGCAGGCAUACGCCUUGAAUACAUUAGCAUGGAAUAAUAAGAUAGGAUCUCGGUUCUAUUUUGUUGGUUUCUAGAGCUGAGGUAAUGAUUAAUAGGGAUAGUUGGGGGCAUUCGUAUUUAACUGUCAGAGGUGAGAUUCUUGGAUUUGUUAAAGACGGACUACUGCGAAAGCAUUUGCCAAGGAUGGUUUCAUUGA
rnacentral:rRNA from 1 species